rnacentral:tRNA from 1 species
GUCCCGGUAGCUCAACUGGAAGAGCGUCUCCCUUCUAAGGAGAAGGCUGCAGGUUCGAUUCCUGCCCGGGAUA